GAUGAACGCUGGCGGCGUGCCUAAUACAUGCAAGUCGAGCGAACAGACGAGGAGCUUGCUCCUCUGACGUUAGCGGCGGACGGGUGAGUAACACGUGGAUAACCUACCUAUAAGACUGGGAUAACUUCGGGAAACCGUAGCUAAUACCGGAUAAUAUAUUGAACCGCAUGGUUCAAUAGUGAAAGACGGUUUUGCUGUCACUUAUAGAUGGAUCCGCGCUGCAUUAGCUAGUUGGUAAGGUAACGGCUUACCAAGGCAACGAUGCAUAGCCGACCUGAGAGGGUGAUCGGCCACACUGGAACUGAGACACGGUCCAGACUCCUACGGGAGGCAGCAGUAGGGAAUCUUCCGCAAUGGGCGAAAGCCUGACGGAGCAACGCCGCGUGAGUGAUGAAGGUCUUCGGAUCGUAAAACUCUGUUAUUAGGGAAGAACAAAUGUGUAAGUAACUGUGCACAUCUUGACGGUACCUAAUCAGAAAGCCACGGCUAACUACGUG
rnacentral:rRNA from 1 species